rnacentral:rRNA from 1 species
CCUACGGGUGGCAGCAGUGGGGAAUCUUGCACAAUGGGGGAAACCCUGAUGCAGCGACGCCGCGUGAGCGAUGAAGUAUUUCGGUAUGUAAAGCCCUAUCAGUAGGGAAGAAGAUUACGGUACCUGACUAAGAAGCCCCGGCUAACUACGUGCCAGCAGCCGCGGUAAUACGUAGGGGGCAAGCGUUAUCCGGAUUUACUGGGUGUAAAGGGAGCGUAGACGGCGAUGCAAGCCAGAUGUGAAAGCCCGGGGCUCAACCCCGGGACUGCAUUUGAAACUGUGUGUCUGGAGUAUCGGAGAGGCAGGCGGAAUUCCUGGUGUAGCGGUGAAAUGCGUAGAUAGUAGGAGGAACACCAGUGGCGAAGGCGGCCUGCUGGACGAUGACUGACGUUGAGGCUCGAAAGCGUGGGGAGCAAACAGGAUUAGAUACCCCAGUAGUC